AUGAACGUUGGCGGCGUGCCUAAGGCAUGCAAGUCGAGCGACGUACCCUGCUUCGGUGGGGAAUACGAGCGGCAGACGGGAGAGGAACACAUUGGUAACCUACCUCUAAGAUGGGGAUAGCCACGGGAAACCAUGGUUAAUACCCAAUAGUCAUGGGGGGACUUAAAGUCAUUCCCAUGUAAAUCCCUUACGGGGCUUAGAGAGGGGCCUAUGUCUGAUUAGCUAGUUGGUGAGGUAAUGGCUCACCAAGGCUCUGAUCAGUACCGGGCGUGAGAGCGUGACCCGGCUCACUGGGACUGAGACACUGCCCAGACUCCUACGGGAGGCUGCAGUCAGGAAUAUUCCACAAUGCACGAAAGUGUGAUGGAGCGACGCCGCGUGCAGGAAGAAGCCCUUCGGGGUGUAAACUGCUUUUCUCAGGGAAGAAUUUGUGACGGUACCUGAGGAAUAAGAGGUUGCUAACUCUGU
rnacentral:rRNA from 1 species